CUCCCCAUUCGACCCGUCUUGAAACACGGACCAAGGAGUCUAACAUGCCCGCGAGUGUUUGGGUGGAAAACCCGGACGCGUAAUGAAAGUGAAAGUUGAGAUCCCUGUCGUGGGGAGCAUCGACGCCCGGACCAGACCUUUUGUGACGGUCCCGCGGUAGAGCGUGUAUGUUGGGACCCGAAAGAUGGUGAACUAUGCCUGAGCGGG
rnacentral:rRNA from 1 species